rnacentral:lncRNA from 10 species
UGCACCAGGUCCAGGCGGACCCACCUGUACAUGAGUGACAGCACCCACAGGGUCCAGAGCUCACAUGUCCAUGGGUCCAGCUCAGUGCCUGGCAUGCCGAGAAUACUUGGGAAAUGCCAACUAAGGACUCUCACCUCAGGAGGGUCUCUUCUCAUUUCCAAAGCUGUCUCUUGCUUUGGAAUGCACGCAGACACUGGGCAAGUAUAUAUGGAGCUUUUAAUCUCUGCCUGACACCAGAGACACAUCCACAGACUGACCGAGUUUCCUGCCCUUGUGCUGCACUCCCCUUGAGGAGACAGACGACGGUGACAUGCAAGGAGCUAAGAUGUCAGGACACUGAGCUGUGAACGAGAUACACAAAUAGCCAUCAUUGUGUUACCACUACCUAUGGUACUCAGUAUGGUAACAUGCUGCAGAGGUUUGGAGCCCAGGAGCAAUCAGCUCUACCAUUCAGCCAAGGUGUGUGUUUGGUUGCAACCUCUGAAGGAAGCUAAGGAGGAAUGACCUAAAGACAGAAGAUGGUUGGUUACUAUUCUCAUUAGAAAGACUGAAGAAAAGGCUGGGCACAGUGGCUCAUGCUUGUAAUUCCAGCAUUUUGGGAGGCUGAGGCGGGUGGAUCAUCUAAGGUCAGGAGUUCAAGACCAGCCUGGCCCAUGUGGUGAAACCCUGUCUCUACUAAAGAUGAAAGAAAGAAAGAAGGAAAGAAAGGAAGAAAGAAAGAAAGAAAGAAAAGAAAGAAAAGAAAGAAAGAAAGAAACCGGGCAUGGUGGGCACCUGUAAUCCCAGCUACUUGGGAGGCUGAGGCAGGAGAAUUGCUUGAACCCAGGAGGUGGAGGUUGCGGUGAGCCGAGAUCGCACCAUUGCACUCCAGCCUGGGCAACAGGAGCGAAACUCUGUCUAUUAAAAAAAAAAAAAAGACUAAAGAGAAAUAAGAGGAGCGUUGAUUUCUAUAUCGCAAGCACAGUACAAGAUUAUCAGUACAAAGCAAUAGGCCUUUUCCUGUUUAAUGGCAUACUCACUUUGUUUACAACCAUUUCAUUAAAAAACACAUUUUCACCAUGUUUUCUGCUGUUUUGUUUUUGUUUUUGUUUUUGUUUUUUUCCAACCAAAAAGCAUCUGGAGCUUCUUUCAUUCUUCUCAUGGACUCCUACCAUCCCUGUUUAAUGACUUGUUCACGAAUCUUUCUUCCUAAGGCUAAACCUUUGAAGUUGUAGCUAUGCAGUUAUUUUUGAUCUACAAAAAUGGAAACUUCAUAUGGCUCAAACUCGUAUUCUCUACUUGGC